UCGGAUAUGGUGUAACGGCUAACAUUGCCGCCUCUCACUGAGAAGUGGUCGCGACCGGGAGGAGGGCUUCCCGGUCACUUGAUCACUUGAUCGCGGCAGCUCGGGGUUCGAUUCCCCGAAUCCGAA